ensembl:lncRNA novel transcript, antisense to ADAD2
CACAACGCUCCUCAGAUAGGGCACUCCCCCAGCAGGGGUACAGCUUGGCUCCGGGACCUCGGUCCCGCCGAGGCUGGCUUCAGUUUCUGAAUUUGCCCACCAGUGGCUUCGAGGGCCAAGCCCCCAGGCCCUGCUGGUCCAGGAGGAGAGACAGCUGCCUGCGAGCCUCCUGCAGGGCCCUGCGGGCGAUGACCAGGCCAUGGCAGUCGUGGAGCUGCUGGCCCGAGAACUCCAGCCAGCCAGCACAGCAGCUGCUGCCGGUGCCCAGAGCCACCAGCUUGUAGAUCUCCUUCACGUGGCCCCUGGCACGCGGGAUCUCUGUGCAGGAGGGGGCAGAGACGGCCCAGCCUAAGGCCCAGUAUGGCGAGCGCUCGUCCAACAGGAGGUCAAAGCCGGCGCUCACCAACGCUGCGCAGCGCUGCUCAUGGGUCAGGAUGUUCUCUGCGCCAGGGCGAGAGACUGCAGGUGACGUCCUGAUGCUCAGAUGGUUUGUACAGCAACCCACCUCCUGCUCACACGCACAGCCACUUCCGCCUCCCCACGGGACUGCCAGCCUCAGUCCUCUUGUCCCCAGCUGCGGCUCAGCUGCCUGGCCCUCCCUCCAUUACCUGGGUUCUCCAGCUGACUCCGGAUGUAGCAGAGGGCAGAGAGCGCUGCCUGCUGUUUGGCCUCCGUCUUGCUAUUCGCAGUGCCCGCAGGGCAGACCACCCCAUCCAGUUCCGCGCUCACCGAGAAGGGGAAGCAGGGACCUGGGGAAGGAGCCAGGUGAGGAAGCAGCCCCCUGGCCUUCGCCCUGUGACAGCAGGCUCCAUCGCCACCCCAUGCCGCGCACACCCUUGAGUGCCUCUGCAGGCUGUGACCCAUCGCUGAUUCAACCAAGUCCUCACCCAACUCCUCCACAGCAGGGAUGCGUGACUCCAUUUCACAGAUGAGCAGAAACGGCAGGCGGUUUGCCCAACUUGAGUCAGGACCCAAAUCCAGGUCCCCUCUCCAGAGCCCACGCCACCCUGUUCUCAGGAGGAAGGCUCUGAGCACUUCCACCUGCCACAGACACAUUGCUUUCAAUUCCUCUCCUCCAGGGGCUCUAUAUUUGAACACUUUUCCUAUGAAACAGUAUCAUUUUGGGUGUUACUUAUAACACAAAAGAGAGAUGAAAAAUCUGGAACUGGGAUCACAUGGUCAAAGGUGCAGGGUUAAUUUCACAGUACUUGCUGCUAAAUUGUUUCUCCCAAGGACUGCCCCUCUGGGGGUUUCCCUUUUGGAAGGGAACCCAUUUCAGCACUCCCCACUGCGCUGAGAUCUGUCUGCUCUAAACAGGCAUCAAAACCAGCAACCACAGACAGACGUGGAAGGGAUGUUGGCCUUAGAAAGCCAGCAUGUGGCUGCCAUCCUAACAGCGACUGAAUCUGGGGAGAACCAUCAAAGCAUGAUUUUCUAAAACCACAAGUGACAAUGUUAUAGGGACAGGAUAUCUACAUGAUCUCCAAAUGCCUCCCCUGGAUGACUUAUUCAGCACAAAGGAGAAAGUGAAGACACCUGGUAGAUGCCACCCUAGUCAAAUCCCCACAGCUCGCAUCGCCAGGGGACAAAGCAAGAUCGCACACUUCCUGGUGAGAUGCGUGCCAAAGACUCGACAUCACUUCAAUAACACAUCACCUGAACUCAGUUCUGAGGAAACAGACAAACCCAAGCUGAAGGACAUUCGCAAAACUACUGGCCCUUACUCUUCAAAGACAUCAAUGUUGUGAAAGACAAAGACAGGAACUGUUUCAGGUAAGAGAUUAAAGAGGCAUGACAGCUAACUGUAAUGUCAUACUGGGAUGGGAAACAAUGGCCAUGAGGUCAUUACUGGGACAACUGGCAAAAUUUGAAUGUGAAUAGAAAUUAGAAGAUGGUAUUAUAUCAAUGUUAAAUUUCCAGGAUUUGAUAAUUGUAUUGUAGUUACAUAAGAGAUGCCCUUGUUUUUAAGAAAUAUAGAUGAGGCCGGGCACAGUGGCUCACUCCUGUAAUCCCAGCACUUUGUGGGGCUGAGGACAGGAACUCAAGACCAGCAUGGCCAACACGGUGAAACCCCAUCUCUAUUAAAACACAAAAAAAUUAGCUGGGCACGGGGGCACAAGUCUGUCAUUCCAGCUACUCGGGAGGCUGAGGCGCAAGAAUCGUUUGAAUUCGAAAGGCAAAGGUUGCAGUGAGUUGAGAUCUCACCACUGCACUCCAGCCUGGGCCACAGAGCGAGACUCUGUCUCAAAGGAAAAAAAAAAAGAGGGCUGGGCAAGGUGGCUCUAACCUAUAAUCCCAGCACUUUGGGAGGCCAAGGCGGGCGGAUCACUAGAGGUCAGGAGUUUGAGACCAGCCUGGCCAACAUGGUGAAACCCCAUCUGUACUAAAAAUACAAAAAUAAAUUAGCCGGGCUUGGUGUGGACACCUGUAAUCCCAGCUACUCAGGAGGCUGAGGUAGGAGAAUCACUUGAACUUGGGAGGCAGAGGUUGCAGUGGGCUGAGAUAGUGCCACUGAACUCCAGCCUGGGCCACAAGAGUGAAACUCCAUCUC